GCUAAACCCGUGCCAGCGGGCGCGGUAAUGCAGGGGGUGGAAGCGUUAGUCGGAAUGACUGGGCGUAAAGAGCAUGUAGGCGGAUUAAUAAGUUUGAAGUGAAAUCCUAUAGCUUAACUAUAGAACUGCUUUGAAAACUGUUAAUCUAGAAUGUGGGAGAGGUAGAUGGAAUUUCUGGUGUAGGGGUAAAAUCCGUAGAGAUCAGAAGGAAUACCGAUUGCGAAGGCGAUCUACUGGAACAUUAUUGACGCUGAGAUGCGAAAGCGUGGGGAGCAAACAGGAUUAGAUACCCGUGUAGUC
rnacentral:rRNA from 1 species